rnacentral:rRNA from 1 species
GUACACGCUGUGACUAGCAUAUCAAUAAGCGGAGGAAAAGAAACUAACAAGGAUUCCCUCAGUAACGGCGAGUGAAGCGGGAAGAGCUCAAAUUUGAAAUCUUGAAAGGUCACCUUUCACGAAUUGUAGUUUAAAGAAGUGUUUUCUGUUACGAUCGUAAUAUAAGUUCUUUGGAAUAGGACAUCACAGAGGGUGAGAAUCCCGUCUAUGAUUGCGAUUUGUAGCUUUGUGAUACACUUUCAAAGAGUCGGGUUGUUUGGGAAUGCAGCCCAAAACGGGAGGUAAAUUUCUUCUAAGGCUAAAUAUUGGCGAGAGACCGAUAGCGAACAAGUACCGUGAGGGAAAGAUGAAAAGAACUUUGAAAAGAGAGUUAAAUAGUACGUGAAAUUGUCAAAAGGGAAGCGUUUGACACCAGUGUUGUUUUCUCGAAAAUCAAUUAAAAAUGGCUCGAUUUUGUAUUGCUGAGACCUUAAAAGCUCACUGUACAUUUUUCGUGUCUUUUUUAAUGCACUUUUCGUUUAACAAGUCAACAUCAGUUUCUUUUGUUGUAAAAGGGUCAUUGGAAGGUGGCUUUCUUUUCGGAGAAAGUGUUUAUAGCCUUUGGCCUCUGCAAUCGAAGAGACUGAGGUCUGCAGCGUAGACUCUUCGGGGUUAGAUACAUUUGUGCUAAGUUAUAGCUUUUUAUAGACAACUUGUUGACUAUAAUUAGUCUUGUAGCUUACUCGCUUAUGCUAUUUUACCUACGCUUAGGAUGUUGAGUAGCGACAUACGCAC